UACGUAGGGUGCAAGCGUUAAUCGGAAUUACUGGGCGUAAAGCGUGCGCAGGCGGUUUGCUAAGUCAGGUGUGAAAUCCCCGGGCUUAACCUGGGAACUGCGCUUGUAACUGGCAAGCUAGAGUGUGGCAGAGGGGGGUGGAAUUCCACGUGUAGCAGUGAAAUGCGUAGAGAUGUGGAGGAACACCGAUGGCGAAGGCAGCCCCCUGGGCUAAAACUGACGCUCAUGCACGAAAGCGUGGGGAGCAAACAGG
rnacentral:rRNA from 1 species